rnacentral:piRNA from 1 species
UCCCGAAAUAAGCUUAAGUCAGAUGGG